rnacentral:rRNA from 1 species
CUACGGGGGGCUGCAGUGGGGAAUAUUGGACAAUGGGGGAAACCCUGAUCCAGCAAUGCCGCGUGUGUGAAGAAGGCCUUAGGGUUGUAAAGCACUUUCAGUAGUGAGGAAAAGUUUAAGGCUAAUACCCUUGAACCCUGACGUUAACUACAGAAGAAGCACCGGCUAACUUCGUGCCAGCAGCCGCGGUAAUACGAAGGGUGCAAGCGUUAAUCGGAUUUACUGGGCGUAAAGCGCGCGUAGGCGGUUUGAUAAGUCGGAUGUGAAAGCCCCGGGCUCAACCUGGGAAUUGCAUUCGAUACUGUCAGGCUAGAGUAUGGUAGAGGGAAGUGGAAUUCCACAUGUAGCGGUGAAAUGCGUAGAUAUGUGGAGGAACACCAGUGGCGAAGGCGACUUCCUGGCCCAAUACUGACGCUGAGGUGUGAAAGCGUGGGGAGCAAACAGGAUUAGAUACCCGGGUAGUC